rnacentral:rRNA from 1 species
AUUGAACGCUGGCGGCAUGCUUUACACAUGCAAGUCGAACGGUAACAGGCCGCAAGGUGCUGACGAGUGGCGAACGGGUGAGUAAUGCAUCGGAACGUGCCCAGUCGUGGGGGAUAACGCAGCGAAAGCUGCGCUAAUACCGCAUACGAUCUAUUGAUGCAAGCGGGGGACCGUAAGGCCUCGCGCGAUUGGUGCGGGCUAUGGCAGAUUAGGUAGUUGGUGGGGUAAGGCUCACCAAGCCAACGAUCUGUAGCUGGUCUGAGAGGACGACCAGCCACACUGGGACUGAGACACGGCCCAGACUCCUACGGGAGGCAGCAGUGGGGAAUUUUGGACAAUGGGCGCAAGCCUGAUCCGGCAAUGCCGCGUGCAGGAAGAAGGCCUUCGGGUUGUAAACUGCUUUUGUACGGAACGAAACGGUCCUGGUUAAUACCUGGGGCUAAUGACGGUACCGUAAGAAUAAGCACCGGCUAACUACGUGCCAGCCGCCGCCGUAACAC